rnacentral:lncRNA from 1 species
CAUUCAUUUCUGUUCCCCAGUUAUUUCGCUUCGUACUUAAAAUUUCAGCGUAAUCUGAGUGCAAAUUUCGGUACAACAUUCGGUUCUGUUUCAAAUUCUUUAUGCAUUCUUUAAAUUUCGAAGUGCUUGUUCAAUUUAAAGGUGGCAUCGAGUUCCAAGGAAGUAACAAAGACUAAAAUGACCGAUUGUUCAUAUGACCCGGCGGUUAAGGUUUACCUGGGACCGAUUCUGAUUCUGGGCGGCCUUCACCAUCUACCGGCACGACUUCAGGGCCUGCUUAGGGCGUUGAUGACGGCCGGGGUCAAGGAUGUGGAGCUGACAGAGGUCCCCGACUACAGACGGCUCUGGAUAGAGGUCCACGACAUGUGCGUUUGGACCGGUGACCCGGGUGACCUCUGCUGGGGCGGAGACGGCAGCCAGGACCCGCUCUGCACAGAGGCUGUGACUGCCGUCACCAGCGCCUUAUGAACCACCAGGAAGGGUGAGACAGAAUACACAGCUGAAGGUGCGAUAAAGAAGAAAAGCGAGACAUGAACCAGAGACCCGUGGAGCUCCAAAGCGAUCGACUCACAAUGCACGGUGCGUUGGCAAGUCACUAAGAUAGAAAACAUUCAUGGAGCCCUCUCAACACAAGUACGUGGUGCUGGCCCUUGCAGAGCUGAGCUUCACGAGGAAUGGUGAUUCUCGGAACUCGGAAGCAACUUGCAGCUGUGAUGACAGAGUCCGGGUCGAAGCAAGCCGUCCUAGCGUCAUUUUCGACACUUGAGAGUCGGACAGGUCGGGUUCUGGAGCUUGAUUAAGUUUGCAAUUUGCAACGUAUUUAUUUGGAAUUGUUCCAGGCCCCCCCCCCCCAUAGCUUUUCGUAGCCUGCAAGUUUUAAAAAUGUAACAGUGGCCGAAAGAUACGAAUUAUAAAUUGAUUUAUAUGCCCGUGAAGAUACUGAACAAAAUAAUAAUGAAGAGGACCUGGGUUGACCCAGGCUGCAAUCAGGAUUGAAGAACUGUAAAAAUGAACAAUGAAUACAAGAGUGUUGAUCAAUGUACUCAGUUUAGAAUAGUUUAUGACAAGGCAUAGUUUCUUUCAACAUCUCAUGUCCCUUAUUCCAUUAACUUUGAAUGUUAUGCGAGUCGUAUGUUCGUCAUUGAUGUGAACGUGUUCUUUUUUUCAACCGUGCCUGUUUGCUCAUAACCGUGUACUCUGCUUAUGACUAAUUUCUUUU